GGUUUUUCGUUAGAUGAUGAAAAAUCUGGCCUGCCCAAUGAAUGAGGUGAAUGGCCGCGGUAAUUUGACCGUGCUAAGGUAGCAUAAUAAUUAGUCUUUUAAUUUAGGACUGGAAUGAAAGGUUAGACGAGGGAAAUUCUGUUUCUAAGGAAAAUUGUUGAAGUUGGUGUUGUUGUGAGGAGGCAACAUUUGGAGCUAAGGGACGAGAAGACCCUAUUAAGUUUGAUAAAAUGGAUUGAUGAUUUUUUUAUUUGUGGAGAUUUGUUGAUUGGAUUUUGUUUUGCUGGGGCGGUAUUGAUUAGAAUGAAUCUUUUGAUGAUUGUAGGGGUAUAAUACAUUGGAGCCAAAAAUAGGUUUGAUAUUUGGAUAAAAUUACUAUAGGGAUAACAGCGUAAUAUUGUUGGAGAGUUCAUAUUGAUGACAAAUUUUGCGACCUCGAUGUUGAAUUAAGAUACCUUUUUGGUGAAGAGGCUAAAUAAGGUGGUCUGUUCGACCAGUAAAUUCUUACA
rnacentral:rRNA from 1 species